CUUGGUCAUUUAGAGGAAGUAAAAGUCGUAACAAGGUUUCAGUAGGUGAACCUGCGGAAAGAUCAUUAAUGAAACAAGUGAAGGUUGUUGCUGGCCUCUAGGGGCACUGUGCACGCCUUUUUUGUUCUCCUUACCUGUGCAUUGUUGUAGGCAUGACCUUUUUGUGUUGUGUCUACGAUUUUUACUACAUACACUUGUCUCUGAAUGUUAUUAAGGAAAGAAAUAAAAUAUAUACAACUUUCAACAACGGAUCUCUUGGCUCUCGCAUCGAUGAAGAACGCAGCGAAAUGCGAUAAGUAAUGUGAAUUGCAGAAUUCAGUGAAUCAUCGAAUCUUUGAACGCAACUUGCGCUCCUUGGUAUUCCGAGGAGCAUGCCUGUUUGAGUGUCAUUAAAUUCUCUCGAAAGCACGUUUGUAAUGUGGUUUUGGAUUAUGGGAGCAUGCUGGCUUGGAUGUAAGCCAGCUCUCCUGAAAGGAAUUAGCUGGAGGCUGUAUCCAAUUCCCAUCCCUCUCUUGUAUGAUAAAUUGUCAAAGCCAUUGGCGGGUCAGGAUGGAUUUUCAACCUCUGCUUUGUAAACAUGGUCUGGUUUAGCCAGACUGAUAUGCUGAACACUUUGACCUCAAAUCAGUAGGAUACCCGCUGAACUUAAGCAUAUCAAUAAGCGGAGGA
rnacentral:rRNA from 1 species